rnacentral:rRNA from 1 species
AAGCAUGGGGCAGCUACCAUGCAGUCGAGCGGUAACAGAGAGUAGCUUGCUACUCUGCUGACGAGCGGCGGACGGGUGAGUAAUGCUUGGGAAUGUACCUUAUGGUGGGGGACAACAGUUGGAAACGACUGCUAAUACCGCAUAAUGUCUUCGGACCAAAGCGGGGGACCUUCGGGCCUCGCGCCAUAAGAUCAGCCCAAGUGGGAUUAGCUAGUUGGUGAGGUAAUGGCUCACCAAGGCGACGAUCCCUAGCUGGUUUGAGAGGAUGAUCAGCCACACUGGGACUGAGACACGGCCCAGACUCCUACGGGAGGCAGCAGUGGGGAAUAUUGCACAAUGGGCGCAAGCCUGAUGCAGCCAUGCCGCGUGUGUGAAGAAGGCCUUCGGGUUGUAAAGCACUUUCAGUAAGGAGGAAAGGUUGGAUGUUAAUAGCAUUCAGCUGUGACGUUACUUACAGAAGAAGCACCGGCUAACUCCGUGCCAGCAGCCGCGGUAAUACGGAGGGUGCGAGCGUUAAUCGGAAUUACUGGGCGUAAAGCGUACGCAGGCGGUUUGUUAAGCGAGAUGUGAAAGCCCCGGGCUCAACCUGGGAACUGCAUUUCGAACUGGCAAACUAGAGUGUGAUAGAGGGUGGUAGAAUUUCAGGUGUAGCGGUGAAAUGCGUAGAGAUCUGAAGGAAUACCGAUGGCGAAGGCAGCCACCUGGGUCAACACUGACGCUCAUGUACGAAAGCGUGGGGAGCAAACAGGAUUAGAUACCU